GGAGCAGAGGGGUUUCCGUCUGCAGCGGGACAACAGGUGAGAGGGAAUCAGGAGAUGUUCUGCUCCUCUCCUCUCCUCAGCUUGUCUGGGCUGUUACCUCGGUGCUGACGUCAAAUCCAGCUCCGGGUUUCCACCUCCCAGGUAAAUGAAACGCAACAUACUAACGAGUCUUUCUGACAAGAUGGCGGCUGUUGAUUACAAACACGGAGCACCUGGGAGAGAAGAGAGACAGGCAUUUCCAGUGCGAGUGCGCCAUCGGAGGGUUUGAUAAAAGGAUUAGGUGGUCAGCUUUACGUGGCUGCAGUCGAAUCUGGAUGUGGAGGGAGAGCUGAUUGAAUAAUUCUUGUUUCCUUUCUGCCAGCAUGGCACUCUUCUUUGGGAAAAGUAAAAAUCAGCAUUAUGCCAGAUUUGUAAAUGUGCUCUGUGUGUCUGUAGAUUCCCGUCCGCUCACCGCUGUGUGACCAGCGCCUGGAAAUCUCAGCAUGUGGAAAACCCAGUGCUUGUGUUUCUUCGUUGUUGUGAAACUUAACAUGCUCAUCUUCAUUUUCCAGAAUUUUUUAAUAUUUAUUUAUGGUGCUUUGCAAAGAAUUCACCAUCUCAUUUCUUCAGUUUUGUCACGUUGAAGUUAAUAUUUUUAAGAGGAUUGGUUGCUUGAAACAAAGUAAUACAUUUUUUAAAAAACAAAUAUGCUCCAUGCAGGCCACUGACUGAAAUGAACUGAACCUGAGUGAAGUUGCUCCUCCAUCUUCUUCAAAUAAAACAAGAUUGGUGUAAAAACAUUUUUG